UCGCAACACUCAGAACCUACAUGAAUAUGGUUACUGUAUAAUUCAUCCUUUUCACCCCUAUAUUUAGGACGACUCAGGGUUAAACUGUCAACCCUGCUCAGAUCAUCCGAAUCGUGCUCAACUCAAACAGUCCUGUGACUCCUCACUAGGACUACCUUGGCCAAGGUUUUGCUAAAUUGAAACACGACUGUACACAGCUCCUAAACUGGAGUAGUCAAUCCCAUCUUGACACAUGCACUGACAAGUCAAGUAUUUGACUACACCCAGCAGCCUUCCGUCACUGAAUUAGAAAUUUAGGUAGUCCAGUGCCUAAGUGCAGUGAGUUGCUUGCAAGUCACCGUGGCGGUCUCAGGUCGGAAGGAUAUUUAUACCCAUAUUCCAUCAGAGCAAAUCUUGACAGU
rnacentral:lncRNA from 1 species